UGAACGACAAUUCUGUUUAUUUUUAUCUGAAUCUUGCAUCUUGAAAAAAAAAUAGAUUCAUUGUGUUAGUGUGACUGAAAUUGCACUAUGUUGAAUUCCUCGAAGUCAGACAAACAUACCUAGAUAAUGCAGGUCAAACAUUAGGAUGACUGACAGUAACUAGCUGAAAGUGGGCAUAUGGCCACUUAGAGAAAAAUCUUCACUUUGGAGGAAAUUGGUGUCAGCAAUCACACAAGCCAGCAGACAAAACUUUCUUGAAUUGAGAUAAGGAGAGGAGAGGAGAGGAGAGGAGAGGAGAGGAGAGGAGAGG